AGAGAUUGAUCCUGUCUCAGAGUGAAUGCUGGCGGCGUGUCUAACACAUGCAAGUCGAACGAGAAAGUUUUCUUCGGAAAGCAAGUAAAGUGGCAGACGGGUGAGUAAUGCAUAGAUAAUCUACCCAAAAGUAAGGAAUAACUCGUUGAAAAGCGAGCUAAUACCCUAUAAUAUUUUCUCUUUUCAUAAGAUUUAAUUAAAGGAGGGGCUUUCUAUAUGAAUCCUUCCGCUUUUGGAUGAGUCUAUGUCCUAUUAGCUUGAUGGUAGGGUAAUGGCCUACCAUGGCGAUGAUGGGUAGCCGAGCUGAGAGGCUGAUCGGCCACACUGGAACUGAAACACGGUCCAGACUCCCACGGGAGGCUGCAGUGGAGAAUUUUGCGCAAUGGGCGAAAGCCUGACGCAGCGACGCCGCGUGAGGGAUGAAGGCCUUCGGGUCGUAAACCUCUGUCAAAAAGGAGUAACCGUAUACAUACUAAUAAUAUGUAUAUCUGACAUUACUUUUAGAGGAAGUCCCGGCUAAUUACGUGCCAGCAGCCGCGGUAAUACGUAGGGGACUAGCAUUACUCGGAAUUACGGGGCGUAAAGAGAACGUAGGCGGUUUAACAAGUUAGUGGUGAAAGUCCUCGGCUUAACCGAGGGAUUGCCAUUAAAACUGUUAAACUUGAGGACAAGAGAGGAAAGUGGAAUUCCUAGUGUAGCGGUGGAAUGCGUAGAGAUUAGGAAGAAUAUCAGGAGCGAAGGCGACUUUCUGGAUUGUUCCUGACGCUGAGGUUCGAAAGCUAGGGUAGCGAACAGGAUUAGAUACCCUGGUAGUCCUAGCCGUAAACGAUGGAUACUAGACUUUGCAUAUGCAGGGUCGUAGCUAACGCGUUAAGUAUCCCGCCUGGGUAGUACAGUCGCAAGGCCGAAACUCAAAGGAAUUGACGGGGACCCGCACAAGCAGUGGAGCAUGUGGUUUAAUUCGAUUCAACGCGAAAAACCUUACCUGGGCUUGAACUUUAGGUAUUAGCUACCUGAAAGGGAUAGUGAUCCGCCUCUGGCGGAACCUAGAGAGGUGCUGCAUGGCUGUCGUCAGCUCGUGUCGUGAGAUGUUGGGUUAAGUCCCGCAACGAGCAAAACCCCUAUUCUUAGUUGUCAGCGAGUUAUGUCGGAUACUUUAAGAAUACUGCCGGUGAUAAAUCGGAGGAAGGUGGGGAUGACGUCAAGUCAGCAUGGCCUUUAUGUCCAGGGCUACACACGUGCUACAAUGGGUGGUACAAAGGGAAGCCAAGUCGUGAGACGGAGCAGAUCCCCAAAACCACUCUCAGUUCGGAUUGCAGGCUGCAAUUCGCCUGCAUGAAGUUGGAAUUGCUAGUAAUCGCGGAUCAGAAAUGUCGUGGUGAAUACGUUCUCGGGUCUUGUACACACCGCCCGUCACAUCACGAAAGCUGGUUGUGCCAGAAGUCAUUUUUCCAACCUUUUAGGAGGAAAAUGCCCAAGGCAAAACUAGUGAUUGGGGUGAAGUCGUAACAAGGUA
rnacentral:rRNA from 1 species